CGCCUGUUUAUCAAAAACAUCGCCUCUUGUACCAAUUACAUAAGAGGUCCCGCCUGCCCAGUGACUAAAUGUUUAACGGCCGCGGUAUUUUAACCGUGCAAAGGUAGCGUAAUCACUUGUCUUUUAAAUGAAGACCUGUAUGAAUGGCAUCACGAGGGCUUAACUGUCUCCUUUUCCUAAUCAAUUAAAUUGAUCUCCCCGUGCAGAAGCUGGGAUUUUAACAUAAGACGAGAAGACCCUACGGAGCUUUAAACAUAUCAAGCAUACGUCAAGUACUUUAAAAUAAAAAAAAAUGAACUAAGUAUCUUUCUUGUAUUGUUUUUGGUUGGGGCGACCACGGAAGAAUAAAUAUCUCCCAUGCUAAAAAGCACUAAUGCUUUUAAAACUAAGACCACCAAGUCUAAGUCGUAGAAACUCUAAAAAUGAUCCGGCCAGCCGAUCAACGAAACGAGUUACCCUAGGGAUAACAGCGCAAUCCCCUUUAAGAGCCCUUAUCAACAAGGGGGUUUACGACCUCGAUGUUGGAUCAGGACAUCCUAAUGGUGUAGCCGUUAUUAAGGGUUCGUUUGUUCAACGAUUAAAGUCCUACGUGAUCUGAGUUCAGACC
rnacentral:rRNA from 1 species